AGCUCGUGCUUGGCUGGAAAAUGACAUCUAAUGGAGAAGGAUGCUAAUUGGUGCUGAAUGGACAGGGCACACAACAGGAUCUUUAUAAAUAACUGUCCAAUAUGUGAGAAGAAAUGAGAGGAAUAGAAUUGCUAUUGUCAGAGACAAGACUAACAUUUGUACUAUUCUGAAAGGAUUGCUGAGAGACAACUGAACUACCCAGAGUGAGUAGAGACAAUCUGAUCUGCCCAGAAAACUCUCAGACCAGACCAGCUCCCUGGAAGAGGCAGAGCCUGGAAGAGUUCAGACCAUCUGAACCAUCUGGAAGGAACACUCUCCAACCUGUUGAGCAGC
rnacentral:lncRNA from 1 species